AUUGAACGCUGGCGGCAGGCCUAACACAUGCAAGUCGAACGAGUGGCGGACGGGUGAGUAAUGUCUGGGAAACUGCCUGAUGGAGGGGGAUAACUACUGGAAACGGUAGCUAAUACCGCAUACCAUCGGAUGUGCCCAGAUGGGAGUAGCUAGUAGGUGGGGUAAAGGCUCACCUAGGCGACGAUCCCUAGCUGGUAUGAGAGGAUGACCAGCCACACUGGAACUGAGACACGGUCCAGACUCCUCCGGGAGGCAGCAGUGGGGAAUGUUGCACAAUGGACGCAGGCCUGAUUCAGCCAUGCCGCGUGUAUGAAGAAGGCCUUCGGGUUUUAAAGUACUUUCAGCGGCGAAGCGUUACCCGCAGAGAAAGCACCGGCUAACUCCGUGCCAGCAGCCGCGGUAAUAC
rnacentral:rRNA from 1 species